rnacentral:rRNA from 1 species
AUGUACAGCCUGCGACAAGCCGCCGUCCCGGCCUUCCAUCCCGUCUCUCCCCCUUCCGCCGUCGGCGCCAAGGAAAACCUCGGGCAGAUGUGCGCGGAUCCCUACGAGCCCGACGUCGACGCCGACCUCCGGGCCAAGGAGAGGGACUCCAGGGAGCACCCCGACGCCGACUACAUGUCCAAGAUGCAGCAGGGCCACAUCAGCCCGUCCAUGCGCGCCGAGCUCGUGCUCUGGAUGGGCGCCUUCGCCGGGCACCUCGGCGGUCUCCCGGAGGGCACGCUCUGCCGCGCAGUCGUCUACCUCGACCGCGUCCUGUCCGUGCGCCCCAUGCCGGCCCACGACCAGGCGCUCCAACUCGUGGCCGCUGCCGCCGUCUCCCUCGGGGCCAAGUACGAGCAGUCCUUUAGCGGGCGGAGGCUCGACGCCGACGUUGUCGAGGCGUUUCACGGGACCACCGUGCACGCGGUGGAGGCGAUGGAGUGCGAGCUCGUCAUGGAUCUCGGUUGCCUCAUGGAUGGCCCGACCGCGUACAGCGUUCGUCGGCCACUUCACAAGGUUCUUCGGGCGGGAAGAUGA